rnacentral:tRNA from 1 species
GGGGGAUUAGCUCAGUUGGGAGAGCGCUUGAAUGGCAUUCAAGAGGUCAGGGGUUCGAAUCCCCUAUCCUCCAUCA